CGGCAUGCCUUACACAUGCAAGCCGAACGGCAGCACGGGAGCAAUCCUGGUGGCGAGUGGCGAGCGGGUGAGUAAUAUAUCGGAACGUGCCCAGUCGUGGGGGAUAACGUAGCGAAAGCUACGCUAAUACCGCAUACGAUCUAUGGAUGAAAGCGGGGGAUCGCAAGACCUCGCGCGAUUGGAGCGGCCGAUAUCAGAUUAGGUAGUUGGUGAGGUAAAGGCUCACCAAGCCGACGAUCUGUAGCUGGUCUGAGAGGACGACCAGCCACACUGGGACUGAGACACGGCCCAGACUCCUACGGGAGGCAGCAGUGGGGAAUUUUGGACAAUGGGCGCAAGCCUGAUCCAGCAAUGCCGCGUGCAGGAUGAAGGCCUUCGGGUUGUAAACUGCUUUGUACGGAACGAAACGGUGAGCUCUAAUACAGUUUGCUAAUGACGGUACCGUAAGAAUAAGCACCGGCUAACUACGUG
rnacentral:rRNA from 1 species